CAUCUCCAUCUCCACCCCCUCCUUACGUCUAUAGCUCUCCUCCACCACCAUCUCCUUCCCCACCCCCUCCUUACGUCUAUAGCUCUCCUCCACCACCAUCUCCUUCCCACCCCCUCCUUACGUCUAUAGCUCUCCUCCACCACCAUCUCCUUCCCCACCCCCUCCUUACGUCUAUAGCUCUCCACCACCACCAUCUCCUUCGCCACCUCCUCCAUAUGUCUAUAGCUCUCCUCCACCACCAUCUCCUUCCCCACCCCCUCCUUACGUCUAUAGCUCUCCACCACCACCAUCUCCUUCGCCACCUCCUCCAUAUGUCUAUAGCUCUCCUCCACCACCAUCCCCUUCACCUCCACCACCUUAUGUCUACAAGUCUCCCCCACCACCAUCUCCAUCACCACCCCCACCUUAUGUCUAUAAAUCUCCUCCACCGCCGUCUCCAUCUCCACCACCUCCUUACGUCUACAAGUCACCCCCACCACCAUCUCCAUCACCACCACCUCCAUAUGUUUACAAAUCACCUCCUCCACCGUCUCCCUCUCCACCACCUCCUUAUGUCUAUAAAUCACCACCACCUCCAUCACCAUCACCACCUCCACCUUAUAUCUAUAAGUCACCUCCACCACCACCUUACGUGUACAAGUCUCCUCCGCCACCAUCUCCAUCACCACCACCUCCUUACAUUUACAAGUCUCCCCCACCUCCAUCUCCAUCUCCACCACCCCCUUACAUUUAUAAGUCUCCACCACCACCAUCUCCAUCACCACCACCCCCCUACAUUUAUAAGUCUCCACCACCUCCUUCACCAUCACCACCUCCACCUUAUGUUUACAAGUCUCCUCCGCCACCAUCUCGAUCACCACCACCUCCUUAUGUUUACAAAUCUCCUCCUCCACCAUCCCCAUCUCCACCACCUCCCUAUGUCUAUAAAUCACCACCUCCUCCAUCACCAUCACCACCUCCUCCUUAUGUCUAUAAGUCACCUCCACCACCAUCUCCCUCUCCACCACCACCUUAUGUGUACAAGUCUCCCCCACCACCAUCUCCUUCACCACCUCCUCCUUAUGUCUAUAAGUCACCUCCACCACCAUCUCCAUCACCACCACCUCCUUACAUCUACAAGUCUCCCCCACCUCCAUCUCCAUCUCCACCACCUCCUUACAUUUAUAAGUCUCCACCACCUCCUUCACCAUCACCUCCUCCACCUUAUGUUUACAAGUCUCCUCCACCACCAUCUCCAUCACCACCACCUCCCUAUGUUUACAAAUCACCUCCUCCACCAUCCCCCUCUCCACCACCUCCCUAUGUCUAUAAAUCACCACCACCUCCAUCACCAUCACCACCUCCUCCUUAUGUCUAUAAGUCACCUCCACCACCACCUUACGUGUACAAGUCUCCCCCACCACCAUCUCCUUCACCACCUCCUCCUUAUGUCUAUAAGUCACCUCCACCACCAUCUCCCUCUCCACCGCCACCUUACGUGUACAAGUCUCCCCCACCCCCAUCUCCAUCUCCACCACCCCCCUAUGUCUAUAAAUCACCACCACCUCCGUCACCGUCACCUCCUCCACCUUAUGUUUACAAGUCUCCUCCGCCACCAUCUCCAUCACCACCACCUCCUUAUGUUUACAAAUCACCUCCACCACCAUCUCCCUCUCCACCACCUCCAUAUGUCUAUAAAUCACCACCACCUCCAUCACCAUCACCACCUCCACCUUACGUCUACAAGUCUCCUCCACCACCAUCUCCCUCUCCACCGCCACCAUAUAUCUACAAAUCACCUCCUCCACCAUCCCCCUCUCCACCACCUCCCUAUGUCUAUAAAUCACCACCACCACCAUCCCCGUCUCCUCCUCCUCCUUAUAUCUAUAAAUCGCCAC
rnacentral:lncRNA from 1 species